rnacentral:rRNA from 1 species
UGCGCAGGCGGACUAUUAAGUCAGUGGUGAAAUCUCUCGGCUCAACCGAGAAACUGCCAUUGAAACUGAUAGCCUUGAGUAUGGUUGUGGUAGGCGGAAUAUAGCAUGUAGCGGUGAAAUGCUUAGAUAUGCUAUAGAACACCGAUCGCGAAGGCAGCUUACCAAACCAUUACUGACGCUCAUGCACGAAAGCGUGGGGAGCAAACAGGAUUAGAUACCCUGGUAGUC